rnacentral:rRNA from 1 species
AGCGAACGCUGGCGGCAGGCUUAACACAUGCAAGUCGAGCGGGCCCUUCGGGGUCAGCGGCAGACGGGUGAGUAACACGUGGGAACGUACCCUUUGGUUCGGAAUAACGCUGGGAAACUAGCGCUAAUACCGGAUACGCCCUUUUGGGGAAAGGCUUGCUGCCGAAGGAUCGGCCCGCGUCUGAUUAGCUAGUUGGUGGGGUAAUGGCCUACCAAGGCGACGAUCAGUAGCUGGUCUGAGAGGAUGAUCAGCCACACUGGGACUGAGACACGGCCCAGACUCCUACGGGAGGGAGGAGUGGGGAAUAUUGGGCGAUGGGGGCAAGCCUGAUCCAGCCAUGCCGGGUGAGUUGUGAAGGCCUUAGGGUUGUAAAGCCCUUUUGUCCGGGACGAUAAUGACGGUACCGGAAGAAUAAGCCCCGGCUAACUUCGUG